rnacentral:misc_RNA from 1 species
GAACGCACAUUGCGCCCGCUAGUAUUCUGGCGGGCAUGCCUGUUCGAGCGUCAUUUCAACCCUCAAGCCCCCGGGCUUGGUGUUGGGGAUCGGCGAGCCUCCGCGCCCGCCGUCCCCUAAAUCUAGUGGCGGUCUCGCUGUAGCUUCCUCUGCGUAGUAGCACACCUCGCACUGGGAAACAGCGCGGCCACGCCGUUAAACCCCCAACUUCUGAAAGUUUGACCUCGGAUCAGGUAGGAAUACCCGCUGAACUUA